GGAGAAAAGAAGUCAGUGACCGCCUAAACUAAAAUUGGGCUCUAGAAACUCUUAUCCAAAAACCCUUAAAUUUUUUAUUUUUCUUUCACUUUAUUCAUCAGGCUAAUGAAACCGUCUAUCUUCUUUGACUUCUCUUCAUCUCCGUUACUCUAUUCUCGCUCAAUCCACUUCUCCUCUUUGCUUCUUAGUCUCUUCGUUUCUUCAUCUUCUUCACCUCUUCCUCUUCUCCCUCUUUUCUCGUCUUCUCCAGCAAACUCAUUUUUCCAGAUCUAAUUUUUUUUUUUUUUUUUCAGAUCUCGUCGCCGCUUAUGAUGUACCGCCAAAGUAAUCGAAGAAGACGUAGCGAGAGAUGUUAUGCUAGUUUUCCGAUAGUUACAAGGGAUCUCCGCCUUCCACCCUAGCUCCAUCAUUGCCUCUUAGAUCUGUCGCCGUUUCCACAUCUUAGCCGCCACCACGAGGAUGGAUGUAUUUGGUUCGAUUUUUAUAGGAAUUGAUGUUCUCAGAGAUGAAAGUGAGGGAUAAUUAGGAACAAAUACGAUCCUUUUCGUCGGAGCAUUGGAUCUGUGUGGCCUCUCGAUGGUAGAAGGGAGGAGUCCUAACAGCGAUUGAUGAAGAGAUGAGCGAUAUUGUGAGGAUUAAGACAACAGAUCGUGAAGAUAGGUGAUGAAUCAAGUUGAGGUGAAAUCAGAUUCGAGGCAUUGAGAUUCUUAAGUACGUUGACACUGUUACUCCGAAAUACAAGCCAAAGUUUGAUGCUUUGGUCAAAGGGAGGCGUCGUGGAAUCUGUUCUUGUAUGCAACUUGAAAAGUUGAGUUAGGAGAGGAGGAUGGGAUAGAACUAAGAGAGUUGCAAUAUGUCGUGUGUCUUCAAGUGAUCGAGCAGAGAAGGUCCAUUUCAUCCCUUUAGGUUCCAACGCUAGCAAGGUCUGGGUAGAGGUUUUCAAGGUUGAUGGUGCACGAGUGUGGAGAGCAAAUUGAGAAUUUGAAACAUUUGCAUGGGUUUUAUAUAUGAAGUACUUUGAACUCCUUAUCUUGGUGUUUUAUAAUAUGUAGAGCUUAGGUUUGACUCUUCAUGACAAAUAAAUGAAGUAUUUUGAUUAAAUAUACUGUUUCUUAUA